UGAAGGAGCAGCUGAAUCAGAGUAAGGCAAAGAGAGAGACACAAAGAAUGGCUUUUCAGUCAGAGACUGCAGAACUUCAUGCCAAUUUUGAAGGUGAGGUUGAGGGCUUGAAGACGCAGCUGAAAGAGAAAGACGUGACUAUCAGCUUGCUGAGAGCAGCUCUGCAUCAGAUUCAGGAGGAGCUUAACAUUCUGGUUAGAUGUGCACUAUUUUAAUCACAUAAUCAUAGCACUUUUUUGAAGAAAGAAACAAAAGCCCAUGUAUAUUUUUUUGUCAAAUGGUAACUGAACCUAUCUAUAGCUUGAAUAAAUAGAAAUGUUAUAGUUUGUCAUUUGCCUGUAUCCUGGAGGAGAGGAUAAACAUUUAUUCUAAUCUUUAAUGGGCAAUGAAUUUUGGUGUUUUCUAACAGAUCUGCCAUCUCUCUGAGCUGGGAAAAGGGCUUUAACAGCACCACCAGAUACAUCAACAGAGAAUUAUUAAGUGCCCCUCACAGUUAUACACAGUUUCACUUUUACACUUGCACAGUAUAUUACACUUCAGUCCUUAUGUGGAAAUAUCAAUGCAACAUGCAAAUACCAAUGUGGUGCUGUGAGCUGAAUAUAAAAUGACUGAAGACAACCUAGUUUUAUUCCUUUAACAACCCAACACAGUUAUGGAGGAAAAUGGAUACAGGGCUUAAUGACCAACUGAGUUUAUAUGCAUGUGACAACCCCUUUAAUUGAGACUUCUGAAACAUGCUGCUGCUUUUUCAAUAUUAUUUUCUGAUAUUUUUUUUUUGUUGACUUUUUGAUAUUUAUAGUAAUGGUACCAUGCUGUGUAAAGAUGUGACAAAAAUAACAGUCUACAAGGGAUUACUUUUCAAUUUAAUUUAUAUUCUUAAUUUCAAGAGAGAAAUAGGCUACCUUGACUUGAUUUCCCAUAAUAACAUUACACAUCAUAUUAUCAUUCAUUCAUCUUCAGUAAACAUUUUGUCCUGACAUGGGGAGAACAUGCGAAACACCAUACUGUAAAGUAACCUGAGCUCAGAAUUGGAGUGUGUUUAAUUCAUUUUGGAUAACAAAGUAUUAUAAAAACAAUCAGACAUACUUUACAAGCGGUAUCUAAAAUAUAGGGUUAAAACAAGGGCUACAGUUAAAGUCUUUCAGUAUGAUGUUUACUGAGUUACUGAACUCAGCAGAAAUACAUUUUAUGUACCCAAUAUAAAAAAUAGAUUUGAAAAAUGUUUUAUAUUCUCCAUAAAAAUAGGCAAUAUAUAAAAUAUCCUC